rnacentral:rRNA from 1 species
CAGCCGCCGCGGUAAUACCGGCGGCCCGAGUGGCGGUCACUAUUAUUGGGCUUAAAGCGUCCGUAGCCGGGUUGGGAAGUCCUCCGGGAAAUCUGGCCGCUUAACGGUCAGAAUGCCGGAGGAUACUCCCAGCCUAGGGAGCGGGAGAGGCCGAGGGGAUUCCCGGAGGAGGGGGGAAAUCCUAUAAUCCCGGGAGGACCACCUGUGGCGAAGGCGCUCGGCUGGAACGCGUCCGACGGUGAGGGACGAAGGCCAGGGGAGCAAACCGGAUUAGAUACCCGGGUAGUCCUGGCUGUAAACGAUGCGGACUAGGUGUCGGGCAAGCUAAGGGCUUGUCCGGUGCCGCAGGGAAGCCGUUAAGUCCGCCGCCUGGGGAGUACGGCCGCAAGGCUGAAACUUAAAGGAAUUGGCGGG